GGUAAGAUGGCUGAGUGUUAAGCGGUGGAUUGUAGACCCAUGAACGGAGGCUCAACUCCUCCUCUUGCCA
ensembl:Mt_tRNA